UGCACAGUUACAGAAGCAGGGCUUGUUGGAAACCAGCAGUCUCUACGAUGAGCUGUUUCAUGCCACACGGUAUUUCAACUUUUUUUUGCACAAAACUAAAAUUCAGCAGUUACAUGUGAUUGUGUGCGAUAAUCAGGGAGUUUUU